UGGGGAAUAUUGCACAAUGGGCGAAAGCCUGAUGCAGCGACGCCGCGUGAGGGAUGACGGCCUUCGGGUUGUAAACCUCUUUCAGCAGGGAAGAAGCGAAAGUGACGGUACCUGCAGAAGAAGCGCCGGCUAACUACGUGCCAGCAGCCGCGGUAAUACGUAGGGCGCAAGCGUUGUCCGGAAUUAUUGGGCGUAAAGAGCUCGUAGGCGGUUAGUCGCGUCUGCUGUGAAAACUCGAGGCUCAACCUCGGGCUUGCAGUGGGUACGGGCUGACUAGAGUGCGGUAGGGGUGACUGGAAUUCCUGGUGUAGCGGUGGAAUGCGCAGAUAUCAGGAGGAACACCGAUGGCGAAGGCAGGUCACUGGGCCGCAACUGACGCUGAGGAGCGAAAGCAUGGGGAGCGAACAGGAUUAGAUACCCUGGUAGUCCAUGCCGUAAACGUUGGGCACUAGGUGUGGGGUCCAUUCCACGGACUCCGUGCCGCAGCAAACGCAUUAAGUGCCCCGCCUGGGGAGUACGGCCGCAAGGCUAAAACUCAAAGGAAUUGACGGGGUCAUGGCUGUUUCCU
rnacentral:rRNA from 1 species